AGAGUUUGAUCCUGGCUCAGGAUGAACGCUGGCGGCGUGCCUAAUACAUGCAAGUCGAGCGAACAGAUAAGGAGCUUGCUCCUUUGACGUUAGCGGCGGACGGGUGAGUAACACGUGGGUAACCUACCUAUAAGACUGGAAUAACUCCGGGAAACCGGGGCUAAUGCCGGAUAACAUUUAGAACCGCAUGGUUCUAAAGUGAAAGAUGGUUUUGCUAUCACUUAUAGAUGGACCCGCGCCGUAUUAGCUAGUUGGUAAGGUAACGGCUUACCAAGGCAACGAUACGUAGCCGACCUGAGAGGGUGAUCGGCCACACUGGAACUGAGACACGGUCCAGACUCCUACGGGAGGCAGCAGUAGGGAAUCUUCCGCAAUGGGCGAAAGCCUGACGGAGCAACGCCGCGUGAGUGAUGAAGGUCUUCGGAUCGUAAAACUCUGUUAUUAGGGAAGAACAAAUGUGUAAGUAACUAUGCACGUCUUGACGGUACCUAAUCAGAAAGCCACGGCUAACUACGUGCCAGCAGCCGCGGUAAUACGUAGGUGGCAAGCGUUAUCCGGAAUUAUUGGGCGUAAAGCGCGCGUAGGCGGUUUCUUAAGUCUGAUGUGAAAGCCCACGGCUCAACCGUGGAGGGUCAUUGGAAACUGGGAAACUUGAGUGCAGAAGAGGAAAGUGGAAUUCCAUGUGUAGCGGUGAAAUGCGCAGAGAUAUGGAGGAACACCAGUGGCGAAGGCGACUUUCUGGUCUGUAACUGACGCUGAUGUGCGAAAGCGUGGGGAUCAAACAGGAUUAGAUACCCUGGUAGUCC
rnacentral:rRNA from 1 species